UGGGGAAUAUUGCGCAAUGGCCGCAAGGCUGACGCAGCGACGCCGCGUGCGGGAGGACGCCCCUCGGGGUGUAAACCGCUGUUGCCCGGGACGAACGAGGGGGUUUGCCCCCUGUGACGGUACCGGGUGAGGAAGCACCGGCUAACUCCGUGCCAGCAGCCGCGGUAAUACGGAGGGUGCGAGCGUUGUCCGGAAUCACUGGGCGUAAAGGGCGCGUAGGCGGCGCGGGAAGUCGGCGGUGAAAGCCCGGGGCUCAACCCCGGGUCGGCCGUCGAGACUCCCGGGCUCGAGCACACUAGAGGCGGGUGGAAUUCCGGGUGUAGCGGUGGAAUGCGUAGAGAUCCGGAAGAACACCGGUGGCGAAGGCGGCCCGCUGGGGUGUGGCUGACGCUGAGGCGCGACAGCGUGGGGAGCAAACAGG
rnacentral:rRNA from 1 species